CGGGCUUAAAUUGCACUCGAAUGAUCCGGAAACGGUUCAGCUAGCAAUAGCGAGUGUGA
rnacentral:rRNA from 1 species